CAUGUGGUUUAAUUCGAAGCAACGCGAAGAACCUUACCAGGCCUUGACAUGCAGAGAACUUUCCAGAGAUGGAUUGGUGCCUUCGGGAACUCUGACACAGGUGCUGCAUGGCUGUCGUCAGCUCGCGUCGUGGGAUGUUGGGUUAAGUCCGUAACGAGCGCAACCCUUGUCCUUAGUUACCAGCACGUUAUGGUGGGCACUCUAAGGAGACUGCCGGUGACAAACCGGAGGAAGGUGGGGAUGACGUCAAGUCAUCAUGGCCCUUACGGCCUGGGCUACACACGUGCUACAAUGGUCGGUACAAAGGGUUGCCAAGCCGCGAGGUGGAGCUAAUCCCAUAAAACCGAUCGUAGUCCGGAUCGCAGUCUGCAACUCGACUGCGUGAAGUCGGAAUCGCUAGUAAUCGUGAAUCAGAAUGUCACGGUGAAUACGUUCCCGGGCCUU
rnacentral:rRNA from 1 species